UGUUUUGACAGAAAAAUGAACUUCUGUUGUAUAUUUGUAUACAUAAUUGAACAUUUUGAUAAGAUUUAAGAAAAGUACAUAACUUUGUGGUGUUGGGAAACUUAUUUCCCUCACCAGGAGAUUGUUGCAUACAUGUACGGGUGAUCACUUCCAGACAGAGGUAGUAACAAUAUCUGUACGGGAAUGAGGAUUAUUUAUAAGACUGAAAUUAUUGUAUUAUUUGCUGGAAAUGUGGAAUAUGAGGAAUUUAAAGCCAUUCGUGAGAAGUUUUUGAUGAUUCAGCUGGACAAAUGCUGGAAAUUAUACAGUUUUCUCCCACCUUAAAACAGUACAUGGUAUAUCAUGGACACCAAAAGCAAACUAUAAAGAUCUAAAUGCCAUAAUUUUGUGCAUCUUGAAAACUGGAAAGGCGGAUCACUUUGAAGCAGAUGAUAGUGAUAGUGUUUAAAAGAAUUCUUUGCGACAGUUAUACCAGUUGGAACAGAUAAAAGAUACAUCAGAUGACAGACUUACAUAUAGAGGAGCCUAUAAUUAGAGAAAUGGAUCAACUUGAUUUUGAAGUUAACCUACUGCAUUAAUAUGAAAAUUCAUAAGUGACUGAGCUUAAAGAAAAUCACACAUGAAACUGUAACCAUGUUUGGGAGACUCAUACAACAGAACAUUUCAAUACCUAUUAAGUUUUUUAUGUAUAUGCUUGACUUUUGGUAAUAUUUUGGAAGUUACUUUAGUAAUUGAGAGACCUCAAUGUUGAAAAUGACAAUUUUGAUAGAGGACAAUUUUAAGAAUAUCAACUUAGUUGUUUAUGAAUCUUUAUCUUUUAAAAUAUUACUGGGUGUCUGAAAGAAUAUUUCAAACUUUGCUGAAACUAUUUAGAUAUUUAUCAUGUUUCAUGUGUUUAUAUAGGCAAAUAUUUAUACAUGUCAUUUAUGUUAUGCAAGGGUUUAUAUGAAUUUCUAAAAAGAUGUAUAUAUAUGUGUUGAUAAAAUAAGUUCCAAAUUAUUACAGAGUAACAGAAAAUGGGAUCAAUUUAUAUUAAAACAACUCUGUU